rnacentral:rRNA from 1 species
AUUGAACGCUGGCGGCAUGCCUUACACAUGCAAGUCGAACGGUAACGGGCCUUCGGGUGCCGACGAGUGGCGAACGGGUGAGUAAUACAUCGGAACGUGCCCGAUCGUGGGGGAUAACGAGGCGAAAGCUUUGCUAAUACCGCAUACGAUCUACGGAUGAAAGCAGGGGACCGCAAGGCCUUGCGCGGACGGAGCGGCCGAUGGCAGAUUAGGUAGUUGGUGGGAUAAAAGCUUACCAAGCCGACGAUCUGUAGCUGGUCUGAGAGGAUGAUCAGCCACACUGGGACUGAGACACGGCCCAGACUCCUACGGGAGGCAGCAGUGGGGAAUUUUGGACAAUGGGCGCAAGCCUGAUCCAGCCAUGCCGCGUGCAGGAUGAAGGCCUUCGGGUUGUAAACUGCUUUUGUACGGAACGAAAAGCCUUCUUUUAAUACAGGAUGGUCAUGACGGUACCGGAAGAAUAAGCACCGGCUAACUACGUG